rnacentral:rRNA from 1 species
GACGAACGCUGGCGGCGUGCCUAAUACAUGCAAGUCGAGCGGACAGAUGGGAGCUUGCUCCCUGAUGUUAGCGGCGGACGGGUGAGUAACACGUGGGUAACCUGCCUGUAAGACUGGGAUAACUCCGGGAAACCGGGGCUAAUACCGGAUGGUUGUUUGAACCGCAUGGUUCAAACAUAAAAGGUGGCUUCGGCUACCACUUACAGAUGGACCCGCGGCGCAUUAGCUAGUUGGUGAGGUAACGGCUCACCAAGGCAACGAUGCGUAGCCGACCUGAGAGGGUGAUCGGCCACACUGGGACUGAGACACGGCCCAGACUCCUACGGGAGGCAGCAGUAGGGAAUCUUCCGCAAUGGACGAAAGUCUGACGGAGCAACGCCGCGUGAGUGAUGAAGGUUUUCGGAUCGUAAAGCUCUGUUGUUAGGGAAGAACAAGUACCGUUCGAAUAGGGCGGUACCUUGACGGUACCUAGCCAGAAAGCCACGGCUAACUACGUG